ACGAACGCUGGCGGCAUGCCUUACACAUGCAAGUCGAACGGUAACAGGUCUUCGGACGCUGACGAGUGGCGAACGGGUGAGUAAUACAUCGGAACGUGCCCAGUCGUGGGGGAUAACUACUCGAAAGAGUAGCUAAUACCGCAUACGAUCUGAGGAUGAAAGCGGGGGACCUUCGGGCCUCGCGCGAUUGGAGCGGCCGAUGGCAGAUUAGGUAGUUGGUGGGAUAAAAGCUUACCAAGCCGACGAUCUGUAGCUGGUCUGAGAGGACGACCAGCCACACUGGGACUGAGACACGGCCC
rnacentral:rRNA from 1 species